CCUACGGGCGGCAGCAGUGGGGAAUAUUGCACAAUGGGCGCAAGCCUGAUGCAGCCAUGCCGCGUGUGUGAAGAAGGCCUUCGGGUUGUAAAGCACUUUCAGCGGGGAGGAAGGCGUUAAGGUUAAUAACCUUGGCGAUUGACGUUACCCGCCGAAGAAGCACCGGCUAACUCCGUGCCAGCAGCCGCGGUAAUACGGAGGGUGCAAGCGUUAAUCGGAAUUACUGGGCGUAAAGCGCACGCAGGCGGUCUGUCAAGUCGGAUGUGAAAUCCCCGGGCUCAACCUGGGAACUGCAUUCGAAACUGGCAGGCUAGAGUCUUGUAGAGGGGGGUAGAAUUCCAGGUGUAGCGGUGAAAUGCGUAGAGAUCUGGAGGAAUACCGGUGGCGAAGGCGGCCCCCUGGACAAAGACUGACGCUCAGGCGCGAAAGCGUGGGGAGCAAACAGGAUUAGAUACCCCAGUAGUC
rnacentral:rRNA from 1 species